rnacentral:lncRNA from 1 species
UAUUUAUUAUUUUUUUUUUUUUUUUUUGCUAAGAAUGUAAAUAUUUCAUUAAUAAUGAAAAUAGUUAGGAAUUACAAUGAAGUAAAACCUAUAGAUUGGUUCCAUGGCAAAAAAAGAAUAAAAAACAUGAAGCAAAAAUACAAUCAGUCCAUCAAUCGACAAAAGCAGUGACGCUUUCGGAAUAGAUGAAGUGAUAAACACAAUCAGUCCAUAGACAUCAACAAAAGCGGUUACACUUUUGGAGUCAUUGAAGUGAUUAACGAUUUUGAAGAUUCACCUAGAUGAGACCUCAAGGAGAAGAAAAACAUGUUGUCAAAGGGCAAUGAUCGCUUUAAAGAAAACCAUAGCGAAUGGAAGCCUUUCACCGGUAGUCCGAGAAUACUGAGCCGUCAACGGCUUAGAACAAAGAGCUCUCAAUCACUGACUCCCUCUUCAUCAAGUGAGAGACGCAUUUUGAACAAUCCAUGAGCUUUCUCAGAGCGGAACCACACGAACCAAAGGAAACGAAAGCGCUAGCUCACUCUACCAAGCUCAUUCCCCGAGGUCGGCUAGCACAGAGCAAAUCUAACAAUACGACCAAACGCUAAACAAUCCUUAGGUUUUACUAGCUCCUCCACCAGCCAAGUUAGCUAAUCCACAAACCAAAGCACAAGCCAACAAAAUUUCUUCUCCACAAAGAGGCAACACACAAAGGGAACAAAGCAAAAUCAAGACUAACCAACACCCAAGAGCUUUGUGCACCAAACGGAGCAGCAAGAUCUUGGAGAGCAAUACCAAAGCAAGAUCGAUGGAGAACGACAAAGGAGAAAACUCUUAAGCAGCUAAAACCAGCUAGCUAAACCGGCGGAUAUGAGAGAAACGACAUCGGCAUCGCUCCAACUCCCUGAAUAGCCGCACAUUUAAAACAAGAAGUUAAAACGCUCGAGCUCCGACCUCACACACCUGUCUUUGACACACCCUAAUGAUGCCUCUACAGGACGGGAGCAGAGAGAACAGAUCGGAAGAACAAGCAGCAAGCACAGAGGGAAGGAGAGGCAAGCUUUCCAAACCCUUGACGGAGUGAGAAACACCACCGUGAAUCUUAUUGAGAAGAUUCGUCAAAUGCCAAAAGGGAAGAGAAAGAGAGGCCAAGACCAUCUUCCACUAACCACUCACCUGAGAAGACCCAAACACCACCUUUGCUAAACCAAAGCCAAGUAGUCACGACACCGAGAAUCGGAGCGAGGGUAAACCGCCGUGAAACACCUCGAGAAAAAAUAACACAACCCUAGCCGCUGUCCUCGAGCAAGGCUGUUGAGAAGGUCGAUCGUCGGAGAGGUGGAACCGCCGUGUUACUCGAGAGGAGUCAAAGAGAGCCGACGCCAAUGGAGCCACUUAAGAGAUUUGCUGUUAACCUAGCCGCCGCGACCAUGUUCUGAAGCUCGUCAAAUCGCCUUAGGAGAGGCACCCAAGUAGCACGAGACACAGGGGGCCCUCUCACAGCCACGGCGAAGAGCGCCGGUGCCGGAGAGGCAAACGACGGCGUAGAUCUAGGUUUUGUUGAAGAAGACGAGUUGGGGAGAAAAUAUUUCGGGCGCGUGUUGGUCACGCGCGUGUUGGUCAGGUGAGUUGUUUUUAUUAUUUAUUUAUUUAUUAUUUUAGUUUCAACUUCCAAGUUGCUUGAAGAAACUUUGAUCUAUAUGUAAUUAUUGCUGUUUUUAAACUUAGCUAUUUUCAUUCUCUUUAAGGGGGUUCCUUUAAAUGCUACUCUGUAAAGUCAACAUGUUUAAAAGUUUAUUUUAGUGGUAAUGUAGUUUCAACUUUCAAGUGGCUUG